UGUAGUAUGCUUGGUGGGUAUGGUGUAAAUUGUAGCCAUCAAGCAGACAUACGUGCUUCUGCGUACGGUGGAAUGUCCACUGCGCAGGGUGCAUACACGCUUUAAUGUAGUAAUAUUGUAUAACUAAACAAAUCAAA
rnacentral:misc_RNA from 1 species